rnacentral:rRNA from 1 species
GGUGCCUUCGGGAACUCUGAGACAGGUGCUGCAUGGCUGUCGUCAGCUCGUGUUGUGAAAUGUUGGGUUAAGUCCCGCAACGAGCGCAACCCUUAUCCUUUGUUGCCAGCGAUUCGGUCGGGAACUCAAAGGAGACUGCCAGUGAUAAACUGGAGGAAGGUGGGGAUGACGUCAAGUCAUCAUGGCCCUUACGAGUAGGGCUACACACGUGCUACAAUGGCAUAUACAAAGAGAAGCGACCUCGCGAGAGCAAGCGGACCUCAUAAAGUAUGUCGUAGUCCGGAUUGGAGUCUGCAACUCGACUCCAUGAAGUCGGAAUCGCUAGUAAUCGUGGAUCAGAAUGCCACGGUGAAUACGUUCCCGGGCCUUGUACACACCGCCCGUCACACCAUGGGAGUGGGUUGCAAAAGAAGUAGGUAGCUUAACCUUCGGGAGGGCGCUUACCACUUUGUGAUUCAUGACUGGGGUGAAGUCGUAACAAGGUAACCGUAGGGGAACCUGCGGUUGGAUCACCUCCUUA